AUGGCAUUGCUUCGUGAUCUUUGGAUGCCAAGUAGUCAAUGUUAUAUCACAGGACCGGUUUGGCCAACUAUUGAGGCAGAGAAUUUUGAGAUGAAGCCUGGUCUUAUUGCUUUGGUUCAACAACAACAAUUUGGAGGACUGCCCACUGAGGAUACCUAUGAGCACUUAUACCGAGUCAUGGAGUAUUCAGGUACAGUCAAGUACCAUGGAGUUCCUCAAGAUGCUAUCAAGUGCAUGCUGUUCUCAUUCUCUCUCCGGGAUGAUGCUCGUGCUUGGUAUCGAUCCUUGCCAUCAAGAUCAUUCAGUUGGAAUGAGAUAUCACAAGCUUUCUUGGAUAAAUAUUUCCCACUACACAAGUAG
rnacentral:rRNA from 1 species